CUGAGUUUUUGAUGUUUUCUCUUUAAAAUAUUUGAGCAUGUAUCCUCUGCAUUAUUGAAGGUAUAACAUACAUCUUGAAAAUCUUUCGAGAUUACAAAUAACAGCCCGCUAACGCCAUAUUGUUUCAGAGCGUGGUGUCCACACGUGACCGUGAGAUACUAUAAUAUCCCACGGUGGAUCUAUACCUGCAUUGCGAAAUCAUGAAUUUGAAUGAACUACCGUAAAAAAUCACAUGUCAUGGUGGUGCAAAUGCUGUUUUUUGAUGGGGCAAUUUGAAUUUGAAUUUGAGGUAUAGUUUUUUUUCUUUAUCUUACCUAAGGCUAAGACUCCCAUAAAUCAUAAUUCAACUCUGACGCUCUUUUGACAACGCCAAAUCACAGAUUUUCACGUCUUGAUACAACGGCUGCAUUUCAAGG